AAGCCGUAACAAGGUUUCCGUAGGUGAACCUGCGGAAGGAUCAUUACUGAGAACUUGCCCCUUGGGGUAGAUCUCCCACCCUUUGUUUACAUACUUUGUUGCUUUGGCAGGCCUGCAUUAGUGCUACUGGCCUUGGCUGGUUAGUGUCUGCCAGAGGACCAACACUCUGAAUAUUUAUUGUCUGAGUAAAAUUAUAAUAUUUUAAAA
rnacentral:misc_RNA from 1 species